GCCCCGGUAACUCAAUGGACAGAGUAGACGUUCGCUAAACGUAAGGUUGUGGGUUCGACUCCCACCCGGGGCA
rnacentral:tRNA from 1 species